rnacentral:lncRNA from 1 species
AUGAUAGAGACAGAGGGACACAGAGGAAGUCUUUGUACAUUUAAGUUGACACUGUCCUCGUACACAACCUCGUUACAUAAUGAAAUGUCUCCUCCAGAUGCUCCAAAGCUUCCCUCUGUGUCAGUGAGUCCCUCUGCUGAGAUAGUGGAGGGCAGUUCAGUGAAUCUGACCUGUAGCAGUGAUGCUAACCCAGCAGCUAACUACACCUGGUACAAGGAGAAUGAAGACUCACCAAAAGCAUCAGGACAGAUCUUCACCAUCACUGACUUCAGAGCUGAACACAGUGGGAAUUAUUACUGUGAGGUCCAGAACAGAAGAGGAAGAAAUGAAACCACCGUACAUCUGACUGUGGCAAGAACAUGGAGGUCAACAGCUGGAACAACAACAGCUCUCAUCCUGGCUGUCAUACUCCUCUCUGUCGUCCUCUGGAUCAGAAAAAAGAAGGCGUCUAAACAAUCCUCUGAGUCCGGAGAGAGAGCAGACACCAGGGAACAGGUGAGGAAGAGGAGUGAAACAAGUCUGUUCAGACGGCCUCCACAUCCAAAAGCUUUCUUACUUUUAGCAUUUUACUUGUCUGGGUUACUUUUGUGUCAGGAGUCUGAUGCAUCUCUCAGCUGUUUGAACUGA